rnacentral:rRNA from 1 species
GAUGAACGCUGGCGGCGUGCCUAAUACAUGCAAGUCGAGCGAACAGACGAGGAGCUUGCUCCUCUGACGUUAGCGGCGGACGGGUGAGUAACACGUGGAUAACCUACCUAUAAGACUGGGUUAACUUCGGGAAACCGGAGCUAAUACCGGGUAAUAUAUUGCACCGCAUGGUUCAAUAGUGAAAGACGGUUUUGCUGUCACUUAUAGAUGGAUCCGCGCCGCAUUAGCUUGUUGGUAAGGUAACGGCUUACCAAGGCAACGAUGCGUAGCCGACCUGAGAGGGUGAUCGGCCACACUGGAACUGAGACACGGUCCAGACUCCUACGGGAGGCAGCAGUAGGGAAUCUUCCGCAAUGGGCGAAAGCGUGACGGAGCAACGCCGCGUGAGUGAUGAAGGUCUUCGGAUCGUAAAACUCUGUUAUUAGGGAAGAACAAAUGUGUAAGUAACUAUGCACGUCUUGACGGUACCUAAUCAGAAAGCCACGGCUAACUACGUG